UAGCUCAGUCCAUAGAGCAUGAGAUUCUUAAUCUCAGGGAUGUGGGUUCAUGCCCCAC
rnacentral:tRNA from 1 species